CCUACGGGUGGCUGCAGUGAGGAAUAUUGGUCAAUGGACGAGAGUCUGAACCAGCCAAGUAGCGUGAAGGAUGACUGCCCUAUGGGUUGUAAACUUCUUUUAUAUGGGAAUAAAAUGUUCCACGUGUGGGAUUUUGUAUGUACCAUAUGAAUAAGGAUCGGCUAACUCCGUGCCAGCAGCCGUGGUAAUACGGAGGAUCCGAGCGUUAUCCGGAUUUAUUGGGUUUAAAGGGAGCGUAGGUGGAUUGUUAAGUCAGUUGUGAAAGUUUGCGGCUCAACCGUAAAAUUGCAGUUGAAACUGGCAGUCUUGAGUACAGUGGAGGUGGGCGGAAUGCGUGGUGUAGCGGUGAAAUGCUUAGAUAUCACGAAGAACUCCGAUUGCGAAGGCAGUUCACUGGACUGCAACUGACACUGAGGCUCGAAAGUGUGGGUAUCAAACAGGAUUAGAUACCCUUGUAGUC
rnacentral:rRNA from 1 species